UCUUCUUCUUUUACACUGACUGACCCUUUGUUGAAAGGAGUGGAACUACCUGGGGAGAAAGGCAAUUGCUGUAACUAAAUGUUUCCAGAAUUCAAUUGAAGAAGGCUGAUGCUGCACUUGUAACUGUUUUGUCCAGGAGAGAAGAGAGUCAUGGCUGUAGAUACUGCAUACAGAUCCAUAAAGUCAGGAGGUGGAAACCAAAAAGCCAAUGUAACUUCACUCCUGAGCAAAUGAAAAGCAAGAAAGGGAAUUCAUUCUCUUCUUUGGUAACUUUAAGGGAAUCCUUACUGUAACGAAGACUCCCUAGCAUGAACUGAAUUUGGAGGCCAAGUCUAGCACACAUUAAUUGGAAAACUAUGACCAAGAUACUUAAAACACUGGAGUGCUUGGUUUAAGAAUAAAGGAAUAUUUUGGAAUACA